CCUACGGGAGGCAGCAGUGAGGAAUAUUGGUCAAUGGACGAGAGUCUGAACCAGCCAAGUCGCGUGAAGGAUGACUGCCCUAUGGGUUGUAAACUUCUUUUAUCAAGGAAUAAAACGAGGCACGUGUGCCUAUUUGCAUGUACUUUAUGAAUAAGGAUCGGCUAACUCCGUGCCAGCAGCCGCGGUAAUACGGAGGAUACGAGCGUUAUCCGGAUUUAUUGGGUUUAAAGGGAGCGUAGAUGGGUUGUUAAGUCAGUUGUGAAAGGUUGCGGCUCAACCGUGAAAUUGCAAUUGAUACUGGCAGUCUAGAGUGCAGUGGAGGUAGGCGGAAUGCGUGGUGUAGCGGUGAAAUGCUUAGAUAUCACGAAGAACCCCGAUUGCGAAGGCAGCUUACUAAACUGUAACUGACGUUGAUGCUCGAAAGUGUGGGUAUCAAACAGGAUUAGAUACCCCGGUAGUC
rnacentral:rRNA from 1 species